rnacentral:snRNA from 1 species
GUGCUCACUUUGGCAGCACAUAUAAUAAAAUUGGAAUGACACAGGGAAGAUUAACAUGGCCCCUGUGCAAGGAUGAUAUGCAAAUCCAUGAAGCGUUCCAUAUUUUU